rnacentral:rRNA from 1 species
AUUGAACGCUGGCGGCAGGCCUAACACAUGCAAGUCGGGCGAGUGGCGGACGGGUGAGUAAUGUCUGGGAAACUGCCUGAUGGAGGGGGAUAACUACUGGAAACGGUAGCUAAUACCGCAUACCAUCGGAUGUACCCAGAUGGGAUUAGCUAGUAGGUGGGGUAAAGGCUCACCUAGGCGACGAUCCCUAGCUGGUCUGAGAGGAUGACCAGCCACACUGGAACUGAGACACGGGCCAGACUCCUACGGGAGGCAGCAGUGGGGAAGAUUGCACAAUGGGCGCAAGCCUGAUGCAGCCAUGCCGCGUGUAUGAAGAAGGCCUUAGGGUUGUAAAGUACUUUCAGCGGGGAGGCGUUACCCGCAGAAGAAGCACCGGCUAACUCCGUGCCAGCAGCCGCGGUAAUUC